rnacentral:rRNA from 1 species
CCCUUAGAUGUUCUGGGCCGCACGCGCGCUACACUGAUGCAUUCAACGAGUCUAAAACCUGCUCUGAUAGGGGUGGGUAAUCUUUUGAAUGUGCAUCGUGAUUGGGAUAGAUGAUUGCAAUUUUUCAUCUUCAACGAGGAAUGCCUAGUAAGCGCAAGUCAUCAGCUUGCAUUGAUUACGUCCCUGCCCUUUGUACACACCGCCCGUCGCUCCUACCGAUUGAAUGAUCCGAUGAAUAUCAUGGAUUGAGGAUGCAAGCAGGUUCGCCUGUCUUCAUCUUCGAGAAGUGAAGUAAAUCUUAUCAUUUAGAGGAAGGAGAAGUCGUAACA